rnacentral:rRNA from 1 species
AGAGUUUGAUCCUGGCUCAGAACGAACGCUGGCGGCGUGCCUAACACAUGCAAGUCGAACGGGGAUAAGUAGCUUGCUAUUUAUUCUAGUGGCGCACGGGUGAGUAACGCGUAGAUAAUCUGCCUUAGACUCUGGGAUAACAUCUCGAAAGGGGUGCUAAUACCGGAUAAGCCCACGGGGACGUGAGUUCUUGCGGGAAAAGGGGGCCUCUGCAUAUGCUCUUGAUCUAAGAUGAGUCUGCGUACCAUUAGCUUGUUGGUAGGGUAAUGGCCUACCAAGGCGACGAUGGUUAGCUGGUCUGAGAGGAUGAUCAGCCACACUGGGACUGAGACACGGCCCAGACUCCUACGGGAGGCAGCAGUGGGGAAUUUUGCGCAAUGGGGGAAACCCUGACGCAGCAACGCCGCGUGAGUGAUGAAGGCUUUCGGGUCGUAAAGCUCUGUCUAGAGGGAAGAAGUGAUAUUCGGUUAAUACCCGGGUUUCUUGACGGCACCUCUGAAGGAAGCACCGGCUAACUCCGUGCCAGCAGCCGCGGUAAUA